rnacentral:tRNA from 1 species
GCCGGGGUGGCGGAGUGGUUAUCGCGCUGGCCUCGAAAGCCAGUGGGCCUAUGGCUCGCACGGGUUCGAAUCCCUUCCCCGGCG